GUUCCAGCCGCCGCGGUAAUACAGAGGGGGCAAGCGUUGUUCGGAAUUACUGGGCGUAAAGGGCGCGUAGGCGGCCGCCUAAGUCAGACGUGAAAUCCCUCGGCUCAACCGGGGAACUGCGUCUGAUACUGGGUGGCUUGAAUUCGGGAGAGGGAUGCGGAAUUCCAGGUGUAGCGGUGAAAUGCGUAGAUAUCUGGAGGAACACCGGUGGCGAAGGCGGCAUCCUGGACCGAGAUUGACGCUGAGGCGCGAAAGCCAGGGGAGCAAACGGGAUUAGAUACCCGAGUAGUCC
rnacentral:rRNA from 1 species